CUAAUUGAUCCUGCCAGUAGUAUAUGCUUAUCUCAGAUUAAUGCGUGCUGGUGUAAGUACAUGCAACUGCCUCAGUGAAGCUGUGAAUGGCUCAUUAAAUCAGUUAUGGUUCCUUUGAUCACUCCUUGGUUAUUUGGAUAACAAUUCUGGACUUAACAUGCAUAUAAGGACUGAACUGCGGGUGUCGAUGACCCAAAACCCGUGUGAGGAGUCCCUCCAGGGACAUCUUAUUUGAAUGUCUGCCCCAUUAGCUUUUGAAGUAACUUUGCGUGUGUACAAUGGUGAUUGUGGGUAACUGGGAUUUAGGGUUUGAUUCUGGAGAAGGAGCCUGAGGAAUGGCUACCACAUCCAAGGAAGGCAGCCACUCCUGCCCACUCCUGACCUCGGGGAACAGUGGAGAAAAAUACUGACACAGGACUUUUUCAAGGCCCUGUAAUUAGAAUUAAAUGACUAUAUGAAACUGUUUAAAUUACAUUACAAAAUCACUUCCACU
rnacentral:ncRNA from 1 species